rnacentral:rRNA from 1 species
GAUGAACGCUGGCGGCGUGCCUAAUACAUGCAAGUCGGACGGAGCGCUUCGGCGCUCAGUGGCGAACGGGUGAGUAGCACAUGGGCAACCUGCCCUUCAGAGGGGGACAACAGCUAGAAAUGACUGCUAAUACCGCAUAAGACCACAGGAUCGCAUGAUCCGGUGGUAAAAACUCCGGUGGUAUGAGAUGGACCCGCGUCUGAUUAGCUAGUUGGUGGGGUAACGGCUCACCAAGGCGACGAUCAGUAGCCGACCUGAGAGGGUGACCGGCCACAUUGGGACUGAGACACGGCCCAA